GAUGAACGCUGGCGGCGUGCCUAAUACAUGCAAGUCGAGCGAACAGACGAGGAGCUUGCUCCUCUGACGUUAGCCGCGGACGUGUGAGUAACACGUGGAUAACCUCCCUAUAAGACUGGGAUAACCUCGGGAAACCGGAGCUAAUACCGGAUAAUAUAUUGAACCGCAUGGUUCAAUAGUGAAAGACGGUUUUGCUGUCUCUUAUCGAUGGAUCCGCGCCGCAUUAGCUAGUUGGUAAGGUAACAGCUUAUCAGGGCAACGAUGCGUAGCCGACCUGAGAGAGUGGUCGGCCACACUGGAGGUGAGACAGGGUCCAGGCUCCUACGGGAGGCAGCAGUCGGGUACCGUCCGCAGUGGGCGGGAGCCUGACGGAGCAACGCCGCGUGAGUGAUGAAGGUCUUCGGAUCGUGAAACUCUGUUAUGAGGGAAGAACAAAUGUGUAAGUAACUAUGCACGUCUUGACGGUAACUAGUCAGAAAGCCACGGCUAACUACGUG
rnacentral:rRNA from 1 species